AACGAACGCUGGCGGCAUGCCUAACACAUGCAAGUCGAACGCUAUUUAUAGAGUGGCGCACGGGUGAGUAACGCGUGGGAACCUGCCUUUUUCUGCGGGAUAACGGUUGGAAACGACCGCUAAUACCGCAUACGCCUACGGGGAAGGUACGCCGGAGAAAGAAGGGCCCGGCCGUCUGAUUAGCUAGUUGGUAGGGUAACGGCCGUACCAAGGCGACGAUCAGUAGCUGGUCUGAGAGGAUGAUCAGCCACACUGGGACUGAGACACGGCCCAGACUCCUACGGGAGGCAGCAGUGGGGAAGUAUUGGACAAUGGGGGCGAACCCUGAUCCAGCAAUGCCGCGUGUGUGAUGAAGGCCUUAGGGUUGUAAAGCACUUUCACUGGUGAAGAUGAUGACGGUAACCAGAGAAGAAGCCCCGGCCUAACUUCGUGCCAG
rnacentral:rRNA from 1 species